GCAAGCUUCAGCAAUGUCUCUCUCAAAAUUCAUCUCCUCUUUCAAUCUACUACUCUCCUUUGCUCUGCUUAUUCUCCAAGCUUAUACUGUUUUUGGAGAUGGUCCUCUCUUCCAUUUUUGUUCUAGCCCUGAAAACUUCACUUCCAAUGGCCCUUACGAGUACAACCUCAACAAGCUUGCUGGUGAUCUAUACAUCCAAACCCCACAAUCAGGUUUUGGUUUUGGUUCGUCAGGCCAGAACCCAGACCAAGCUUAUGGCCUUGCUUUGUGCAGAGGAGACGUCUCAAGCUCAGACUGCAAAACCUGUGUAGCAGAGGCAAGUGGUGAGAUCCGCAAGCGUUGUCCAUAUAACAAAGCAGCAAUCAUUUGGUAUGAUUAUUGUCUUUUUAAGUAUUCUGAUAAGAAAUUCUUUGGCCAAAUUGACAAUAGAAACAAGUUCUAUAUGUGGAACGUUAGAGUUGUAAGUGAUCCAGAUUCAUUCAACCAGAAGACUAAGGAGCUGCUGACCCAAUUGGCCAAGGAAGCCUAUGCAACCCCAAAAUUG
rnacentral:misc_RNA from 1 species